UGGGGAAUUUUGGACAAUGGGGGCAACCCUGAUCCAGCCAUUCCGCGUGAGUGAAGAAGGCCUUCGGGUUGUAAAGCUCUUUUGUCCGGAGCGAAACGGGUUGCGUGAAUAGCGCCGCCUACUGACGGUACCGGAAGAAUAAGCACCGGCUAACUACGUGCCAGCAGCCGCGGUAAUACGUAGGGUGCGAGCGUUAAUCGGAAUUACUGGGCGUAAAGCGUGCGCAGGCGGUUUUGUAAGCCAGAUGUGAAAUCCCCGGGCUUAACCUGGGAAUGGCAUUUGGGACUGCAAGGCUUGAGUGCGGCAGAGGAGACUGGAAUUCCUGGUGUAGCAGUGAAAUGCGUAGAUAUCAGGAGGAACACCGAUGGCGAAGGCAGGUCUCUGGGCUGACACUGACGCUCAUGCACGAAAGCGUGGGGAGCAAACAGGAUUAGAUACCCCCGUAGUCC
rnacentral:rRNA from 1 species